rnacentral:rRNA from 1 species
UACGUAGGGAGCAAGCGUUGUCCGGAAUCAUUGGGCGUAAAGAGCGUGUAGGCGGACCAGUAAGUCGGUUGUGAAAGUCCAGGGCUCAACCCUGGAAAGCCGGCCGAUACUGCUGGUCUAGAAUCCGGAAGAGGCGAGUGGAAUUCCUGGUGUAGCGGUGAAAUGCGCAGAUAUCAGGAGGAACACCAAUGGCGAAGGCAGCUCGCUGGGACGGUAUUGACGCUGAGACGCGAAAGCGUGGGGAGCAAACAGG